UUUCCGUAGGUGAACCUGCGGAAGGAUCAUUAAUGAAUUUAAAUGACGGGGUUGUAGCUGGCUCUCUGUAGCAUGUGCACGCCUUUGUUCAAUUCAUCCACACACCUCUGUGCACUUUUCAUAGGUUUGGCUCGUUAUAAAGGACCGUCUCUAAUGACCGUUUCGAGAGCCUCUCCCUGUGUAUUUUACCACGAACAUUUUAAAAAGUCUAUGAAUGUACAACUUUGCUAUAAAACGCAUUUAAAUACAACUUUCAGCAACGGAUCUCUUGGCUCUC
rnacentral:misc_RNA from 1 species